GUGCCUUAUCUUCUUCCGCCUAGCGAGCUCCACCACUCAUUUACCCCAUCUCCACGAACACAUCCUCCUGUACUCAUGUAAUCCCCUUCCCCCGGUAAUCACCAAGGCAAUAAAAUCGGGCGCUCUGGUGGCUAGAAAUCGCACCAGUCUGAAGGGAGGGCCACGGGGGUACUGCUACGGGAGUCAGGGGCGAGCGACGACCGUGGGGAUGGUAGAGACGGCGGCUAGCGAGCUGCCAUGAUUUUUUUGCUGGAACCACUACUGUUUUUUUUUGCUGGAACCAGCUUUCGAUUUUGCUGUAAACUGAGGGACAGUGGUGCCUUCGCCCCUGAUAUUUUUCUACAUCAAAAUUUUGGUUGGAAGCACUUUUUGAUUUUUGCUGGAACCAACCUUUGAUUUUGCUACAUACGCAGGAUUUUUUGCUACAUCAAAAAUUUUGGCUUGAAGCACUUCUGAUUUUUGCUGGAACCAACAUUUGAUUUUGCUGCAUAGACAGGAUUUUUGGUACAUCAAAUUAUUGGCUGGAAGCACUUUUGAUUUUUGCUGGAACUAGCAUUUGAUUUUGUUGCAUAGGCUAGGAAUAGUGCUGGGGCGAUGAUAGACGGCGGCUGCCAUGUGUUUUGCUGCGACCAAGAAUCAUUUUUGCUACAACCAGCCGAAGCAGAGCUGGAACCGGCUAGAUUUUUUGUUUGCAGGCAUCGGCGGCAGUGCAUUUUUUUGCUGGAACCGUGAUAAUUUUUUGCUGGAACAGUUUUUGGUUUUUGCUACCGUCAGGGAAAUCCCCUUUCCCUAUUCGUUGAGCUUUUUAUGCUGAAAUACGGUGGUGGAAGGCGACGUCGGCGGCGAGUAGAGACGGCGGGGGCGGGAGGUGCUGCAACCACGAUGCCAGUUCUUGGAACAAGCCGAUGAAGAGAUGCAAACAGCAAAAUCUUGAAUCUUUCUAGGUAGCCCUGCAAUCCCCACGGCGCGCGGCGAGAUGCGGCAAGCCGGCAGUGCGGCGGCGCACGCGACGGUGCUGCAACGGGAGGACGAGGAGAUGAGGCGGGGCUGUCGGCCCGGGCGGGGGCGGCGCUCUUUUUCCUCUUCUUUUUUUCUGUGCGGGAGGUUGGCGAAGGGAACGAUAGGGGACAGAUCUGACGGCUGCGCAUGUGUAGAUCGGAUGCUCGCGGUGCGACCGGCCGAAACUUUCGGCCGGCGCACCGGCGCCCAGUACCGCCCUUAGUUGUAACUUUCUCGGUUCGUCUCCAGAUUAUGAAUGGUUUGAUCCCUCAUAUUUAUGAGGAAAUUCUGGAUGUACUGGGGGUAGUAAUAUAUACUCACCUUUAAACCCUUGAACUAUUUGGUACCUACUAAAAUUUCAGCAAUUUCCUGAAGCUUCUUGACAGUGAUAAGGAUAGGGUUCUCAUUUUGAUGAAAUUUUACAAACAAUUCUAGAAAUUAUAUUAUUAAACUAGGUGCCAGAUAUUGUACAACGCGUGCAUUUGAGCCCAAGUAAAAAGAAACUAAAACUUAUGUCAAACACCCACAUGCUAGCUUGGCUUUGAAUAAAAAUGAAGCAUAAGGUCAUUUUAGCCA
rnacentral:rRNA from 1 species